GUACAUAUACUAAAAAAAAAAUUGGAACGAUACAGAGAAGAUUAGCAUGGUCCCUAUGCAAGGAUGACAUGCAAAUUCGUGAAGGAUUCCAUAUUUAC
rnacentral:snRNA from 1 species